GACGAACGCUGGCGGCGUGCUUAACACAUGCAAGUCGAACGCUGAAGCUCAGCUUUUGUUGGGUGGAUGAGUGGCGAACGGGUGAGUAACACGUGAGUAACCUGCCCCCUUCUUUGGGAUAACGCCCGGAAACGGGUGCUAAUACUGGAUAUUCACUGGUCUUCGCAUGGGGGUUGGUGGAAAGGGUUUUUCUGGUGGGGGAUGGGCUCGCGGCCUAUCAGCUUGUUGGUGGGGUGAUGGCCUACCAAGGCUUUGACGGGUAGCCGGCCUGAGAGGGUGACCGGUCACAUUGGGACUGGGAUACGGCCCAGACUCCUACGGGAGGCAGCAGUGGGGAAUAUUGCACAAUGGGCGCAAGCCUGAUGCAGCGACGCCGCGUGAGGGAUGGAGGCCUUCGGGUUGUGAACCUCUUUCGCUCAUGGUCAAGCCGCAACAAUGGUUGUGGUGAGGGUAGUGGGGAAAGAAGCGCCGGCUAACUACGU
rnacentral:rRNA from 1 species